rnacentral:rRNA from 1 species
GCGUUGUCCGGAAUUACUGGGCGUAAAGCGCGCGCAGGCGGUCCUUUAAGUCUGAUGUGAAAGCCCACGGCUCAACCGUGGAGGGUCAUUGGAAACUGGGGACUUGAGUGCAGAAGAGGAAAGUGGAAUUCCAAGUGUAGCGGUGAAAUGCGUAGAGAUUUGGAGGAACACCAGUGGCGAAGGCGACUUUCUGGUCUGUAAUUGACGCUGAGGCGCGAAAGCGUGG